UGCGGGGGGGGCAAGCGUUGUUCGGAAUUACUGGGCGUAAAGGGCGUGUAGGCGGCCAACUAAGUCCGACGUGAAAUCCCCAGGCUUAACCUGGGAACUGCGUCGGAUACUGGAUGGCUUGAAUCCGGGAGAGGGAUGCAGAAUUCCAGGUGUAGCGGUGAAAUGCGUAGAUAUCUGGAGGAAUACCGGUGGCGAAGGCGGCAUCCUGGACCGGCAUUGACGCUGAAGCGCGAAAGCUAGGGGAGCAAACGGG
rnacentral:rRNA from 1 species